rnacentral:rRNA from 1 species
AUUGAACGCUGGCGGCAGGCCUAACACAUGCCAGUCGAGCGGCUGCAGGGAGCUUGCUCCUGGAUUCAGCGGCGGACGGGUGAGUAAUGCCUAGGAAACUGCCUGGUGGUGGGGGAUAACGUCCGGAAACGGGCGCUAAUACCGCAUACGUCCUGUGGGAAAAAGUGGGGGAUCUUCGGACCUCACGCUCUCAGAUGAGCCUAGGUCGGAUUAGCUAGUUGGUGGGGUAAAGGCCUACCAAGGCGACGAUCCGUAACUGGUCUGAGAGGAUGAUCAGUCACACUGGAACUGAGACACGGUCCAGACUCCUACGGGAGGCAGCAGUGGGGAAUAUUGGACAAUGGGCGAAAGCCUGAUCCAGCCAUGCCGCGUGCGUGAAGAAGGUCUUCGGAUUGUAAAGCACUUUAGGUUGGGAGGAAGGGCAGUAAGUUAAUACCGUGCUGUUUUGACGUUACCGACAGAAUAAGCACCGGCUAACUUCGUG